AGAGUUUGAUCCUGGCUCAGGACGAACGCUGGCGGCGUGCCUAACACAUGCAAGUCGAGCGGAGAUAGACUGAUGGUAACUGAAGUUUGUCUUAGCGGCGGACGGGUGAGUAACACGUGGGCAACCUGCCUUGGAGUGGGGGAUAACACCGGGAAAUCGGUGCUAAUACCGCAUAACAUACACAAACUGCAUGGUAAGUGUAUCAAAGGAGCAAUCCGCUUUAAGAUGGGCCCGCGGCUGAUUAGCUAGUUGGUAAGGUAACGGCUUACCAAGGCGACGAUCAGUAGCCGACCUGAGAGGGUGACCGGCCACACUGGAACUGAGACACGGUCCAGACUCCUACGGGAGGCAGCAGUGGGGAAUAUUGCGCAAUGGGGGGAACCCUGACGCAGCAACGCCGCGUGGAGGAAGAAGGUCUUCGGAUUGUAAACUCCUGUCUUCUGGGACGAAGUAUGACGGUACCAGAGGAGGAAGCCACGGCUAACUACGUGCCAGCAGCCGCGGUAAUACGUAGGUGGCGAGCGUUGUCCGGAAUUACUGGGCGUAAAGGGCGCGUAGGCGGCUUUUUAAGUUAGAUGUGAAAACCCGGGGCUUAACUUCGGGCGUGCAUUUAAAACUGGAGAGCUUGAGUGCAGGAGAGGUAAGUGGAAUUCCUAGUGUAGCGGUGAAAUGCGUAGAUAUUAGGAGGAACACCAGUGGCGAAGGCGACUUACUGGACUGUAACUGACGCUGAGGCGCGAAAGCGUGGGAAGCAAACAGGAUUAGAUACCCUGGUAGUCCACGCUGUAAACGAUGGAUACUAGGUGUGGGAGGUAUCGACCCCUUCCGUGCCGCAGUUAACGCAAUAAGUAUCCCGCCUGGGGAGUACGGCCGCAAGGUUGAAACUCAAAGGAAUUGACGGA
rnacentral:rRNA from 1 species